CCUACGGGGGGCUGCAGUGAGGAAUAUUGGUCAAUGGUCGGGAGACUGAACCAGCCAAGCCGCGUGAGGGAUGAAGGUACAGAGUAUCGUAAACCUCUUUUGUCAGGGAACAAAGGCGGGGACGUGUCCCCGGAUGAGUGUACCUGAAGAAAAAGCAUCGGCUAACUCCGUGCCAGCAGCCGCGGUAAUACGGAGGAUGCGAGCGUUAUCCGGAUUUAUUGGGUUAAAGGGGUGCGCAGGCGGUCUGUUAAGUCAGCGGUCAAAGCCCGGGGCUCAACCCGGGCCCGCCGUUGAAACUGGCAGUCGCGAGUUGGAGAGAAGUAUGCGGAAUGCGCGGUGUAGCGGUGAAAUGCAUAGAUAUCGCGCAGAACUCCGAUUGCGAAGGCAGCAUGCCGGCUCCACACUGACGCUGAGGCACGAAAGCGUGGGUAUCGAACAGGAUUAGAUACCCUUGUAGUC
rnacentral:rRNA from 1 species